rnacentral:tRNA from 1 species
AGGGCUAUCGCCAAGCGGUAAGGCACAGCACUUUGACUGCUGCAUACGACGGUUCGAAUCCGGCUAGCCCAG